GAGUUUGAUCUUGGCUCAGAUUGAACGCUGGCGGCAGGCCUAACACAUGCAAGUCGAGCGGAUGAUGGGAGCUUGCUCCUUGAUUCAGCGGCGGACGGGUGAGUAAUGCCUAGGAAUCUGCCUGGUAGUGGGGGACAACGUUUCGAAAGGAACGCUAAUACCGCAUACGUCCUACGGGAGAAAGCAGGGGACCUUCGGGCCUUGCGCUAUCAGAUGAGCCUAGGUCGGAUUAGCUAGUUGGUGGGGUAAUGGCUCACCAAGGCGACGAUCCGUAACUGGUCUGAGAGGAUGAUCAGUCACACUGGAACUGGGACACGGUCCAGACUCCUACGGGAGGCAGCAGUGGGGAAUAUUGGACAAUGGGCGAAAGCCUGAUCCAGCCAUGCCGCGUGUGUGAAGAAGGUCUUCGGAUUGUAAAGCACUUUAAGUUGGGAGGAAGGGCAGUAAGUUAAUACCUUGCUGUUUUGACGUUACCGACAGAAUAAGCACCGGCUAACUCUGUGCCAGCCG
rnacentral:rRNA from 1 species